AUUGAACGCUGGCGGCAGGCCUAACACAUGCAAGUCGAGCGGUUGACGGGAGCUUGCUCCCUGAUUCCGCGGCGGACGGGUGAGUAAUGCCUAGGAAUCUGCCUAUUAGUGGGGGACAACGUUUCGAAAGGAACGCUAAUACCGCAUACGUCCUACGGGAGAAAGCAGGGGACCUUCGGGCCUUGCGCUAAUAGAUGAGCCUAGGUCGGAUUAGCUAGUUGGUGAGGUAAUGGCUCACCAAGGCGACGAUCCGUAACUGGUCUGAGAGGAUGAUCAGUCACACUGGAACUGAGACACGGUCCAGACUCCUACGGGAGGCAGCAGUGGGGAAUAUUGGACAAUGGGCGAAAGCCUGAUCCAGCCAUGCCGCGUGUGUGAAGAAGGUCUUCGGAUUGUAAAGCACUUUAAGUUGGGAGGAAGGGUUGUAGAUUAAUACUCUGCAAUUUCGACGUUACCGACAGAAUAAGCACCGGCUAACUCUGUGCCAGCCGCCGCAGUAAUAC
rnacentral:rRNA from 1 species